AGGGUUGUGAAUUUAUUCAACAGCCUAAUCACAUGUUCAUCUAUUUCUAGUCUAUCCAUAUCAUUAACAUCAAGGUACCUGCAAGGAGAGAUAGUUCUAGAGAUUAGAUACUUAUACCUAUUGCUUUGCUCGGAAUCCUUGAAUUGGAUCCCAUGAUUCGGGUUGUUGAUUGCUUCUUGCUUGCACCACUUUUGGAGGCUUCAAUCUUCUCACCUUUCCUUUUUG
rnacentral:lncRNA from 1 species